rnacentral:lncRNA from 1 species
CUAGAAUUCGUAACAUAUCAUACGUUUUGGAAAUCUGUAACAUAUUGGAAGUUUUGCAAAUUCAUAAUAUACUGUAUAAUAACUGUAAAUAGAGAUUCCACCUACGUAAUUAUUAUAUGAGUGAUGGCUUACUAGCCAAUCCAUGAGAGUUGUUCAGUUAUAUUUGUUGCGUUCUGGUUUAAAAAGUAUCCGAUUUUGACUGUACAUAUUGCCACAGCAUGGAACCAAGCUCGUUGUUGUUUUGGAGCUAGUCGGUCUAAUUGCAUUGUAUUAUUUACAAGUUGGUAAUAAAACGACCAAAGAUAGAAAGUUGUUGUGGCCUUCUUUCCACGCCUCCAAGAAACGAGGAGUUGGAGUUGACAGGGGUCCAGGAUCAUUGGUGUAACUACAUUACAGUAGCUAGCUACCAUUAGCCAACAACUGUGGAAAAGCUAACAGGAGAUGUCUGGUCAACUCCACGAAGCACACACAACAAUACGAAUUGUAAUUCGUAACAUAUCAUAUGAAAUGGGUGAUGGACAUCCACAAAUUAAUACAUACCAAACGAAAACAUAAAAUGUCAUGCUCAAUUGAGUGUCUCGGAUUUAUGUACAGAAUAACUUCAAAUGCUCUGAGACCAGGUGGCAGCCAAAUUCACAGCACAUCAUUGACACUGCCUGAUUGCACACGAGACCCGAAUGCAGUUUAGAGUUCUCAUCAGAACUGAAAAUUCGAUCCUGUUCCAAUCCAAACCCAAUGAGCUGAAAGCCCGAGCCCAGGUCCGACAUCACAGAAAUUAAACGAGCCCGAACCCGAGAAAAGGCAGAUUUCAAGAUAACAGUAGGCUAUAUUGAUUUAAACUGGUGUUGAGAAUAACACGGCAGAGGCGGUGUGAAAAGAAGAGGAAACAGCCAUUGUGUCACGGGUGUCGUAGGGAUUGGACCAAAACGCAGCGGGAACGUGUAAACUCAUCUUCUUAUUUUAUUAAAGAAGGAAAACAAAAGAAACACGUAUACAAAAACAAACGACACUAAACAGUCCUGUCAGGUGCACGAACACAAAACAGGAAACAACUACCCACAAAUCCCAUAGAAAAAACACCCCUCUUAAAUAGGAUCUUCAAUUAGAAGCAACGAGGAGCAGCUGCUUCCAAUUGAAGGUCAACCCAAUAAACACCACAUAGAAAUAGACAUACUAGAACUAACAUAGAAAUAGUGUAACAAAGAACAUAGCCCAACAAACCCCAAAAUACUCUAAACAAACACCCCCUGCCACGCCCUGACUAAACUACAAUAACAACAACCUCUUUUACUGGUCAGGACAUGACACAUUGGCCUAGAAAAAGCACAGAGGGAGGAAAACUCACCUAAAUUAUGAAAAUAUUGGGAUAAAGUAGGCUAAUUCAAUUGAAGGCAUGUAUCAAAUUCUUGAUUAUACUGAAACUCCCAAAGUCAUAUACAACCGUUAUACUAAUUUCCAGCAAUAGUCACGUGUGGUCACCAAGAUUAUCAUUUCAGCACCGGUUUGGUUGGGACAGCACCAUCGCUGCUUUGAGACAAGCUUGCUAAAUUAAUAUAGAUAAUAUUAGUUAAAUUGAGGUGCUAACGAUAAUCUUUAGUCUAGUUUGCUCAUAUAUUAGCUGAUCAGAACAUUAUACAAGAGGAUUUUGCCUGUUCCCAACCAAACGCCUGUAACUUGUCUGAUAAUCAAUCAAUAUGAUUUGGUUUCACAGAAUCUGUCUGUAUAAUAUUUGGUUAAUUGAUCUGUGGCUGGACAAGUGGAAGUGGUAUCUAAUGUCUUUGUUUUCUCAUCUAUCACUGAUCAGAAACAUUUAGCAUGUAAUAAUGAAGCCUAAUUCAAGAGUAUUAUUUAUCUAUUGCCUCAUAUAGUACCCUUACAUAGCCGUAUAUAGAGCCGAGGCUGUUUUCCUAUCGUCCCAAUUCCACUGAAACCCAAAAUCCUCACUCCUGUCUCGCAUGAAAUACCUAACUUUAUUCUGUAAUCCAUAGGUGGCAUUAUCAAAGCACGUCUCGCCUAUGCAUGCCAAAAUACCGCUAUAACAUUUCCCCCGCUUCUCUGCGCUGUCUCCUAUUGCUCCCCAUAUGAGAGCUUCGGUAGAUAAUGUGUGAUCAGCAAACGGUAUGAGAUUAGAUUGUCAUAAAUGUUGAAGCCGUGUUGAAUGGACCAAACUGCAGCAGGCGGAAUGUGGAUACUCAUCUUUUAAUAUUUUAAAGCAAAGUAUACACAGAAAACAAUAAACAAUGAACGACUUCAGACAGGCUACCAGGCUAUACGUACAAAAUAAUAGCAGUGUUAGCACAACCACCCACAAAUCCAAGUGACAAACAUACUCCUAAAUAUAUGACUCCCAAUCAGGAACAACGAUGACAGUACCCCCCCCCCCCCCUAAAGGUGCAUACCCCGAAUGCACCUAAAAAGAAACAACAAAAAUCCCCUCUACCACAACAAAACAAAAAACCCCUAAACAAUAAGGGAGGGAAGGGAGGGUGGCUGCCGUCAACGACGGCACAGUGCUACACCCCUUCUCCCCAACCCACCUAUCCUGGAGGCCUACUGCCCUCCAGGUUGUAGGCAGACUCAUUGGGUUCCGGGUCGUAGACAGACUCACUCCGUUGUGGCUCAUGGGCAGACUCUUUCCAUUCCAGGUCGUAGGCAUACUCCCUCCGGUUAACGCUGUAGGUAGACUCACCCGGUUCUGGGUCAUAGGCAGACCCCUUCGGUUCCGGGUCGCAGGCAGACCCCUUCAGUUCCGGGUCGCAGGCAGACCCCUUCGGUUCCGGGUCGCAGGCAGACUACCUUGGUUCCGGGUCGCAGGCAGGCUCCCUCGGUUCCGGGUCACAGGCAGGCUCCCUCAGUUCCGGGUCACAGGCAGACCCCUUUGGUUCCGGGUCACAGGCAGACCCCUUUGGUUCCAGGUCACAGGCAGUCUCCCUCGGUUCCGGACUAGACACUGUUGCCGGAUACUCUGGACUGCAC